CCUGGGGGACAAGAGCGAGAUUUUGCCUCAAAAAAAAAAAGAAAAAAAAGAAGAGGAGAGAAGGAUUGAAGGAAGACUCGGCAGAGAAUACAAGGGCAAGGAUCCAGUCACAGAAAACUACCCUAGUGCCUGCACUCCGACCUAUGAUCCAAGCCCCAUGUAGAAUGGAAAUGAGGAGGAGGGCUGGCCCUAGACAAUGUUAUUAAAUUUUAGAAUUUACUACAGAGGUACAGUUAAUCAAGAUUAGGUGGCACUGGCAUAAGGACAGACAUGUACGUCAAAGAAACAGAAAAGGAUGUCCAGAAAGCAACCCGCACAGAUACCAAACUGACCUUUAACAAAUGUUCUAAGCUAAAAGAUUUGAAGAUUGGGAGCUGAAAUCAUCUGAAUACUUCUCUUUCAUUUGUACCUACCUGGGGCUGCCGGCUAGACACCCACACAUGACUUCUGCAUGUGGCCUGGAUUUGCUCACGACAUGAUAGCUGGAUCCCACAGGGCUCUUCAGUGAUGAAUGAAAAGUGAGGAGAUCCGAAUCACACUGUUUCUGCUUUUUAAAUUAAAUUUUCUCAUCACUGUC